AAAAAUGUACCAUACUUCUCGAAAAGUAAAAAAGAAUGUAACCCUGAACUGAGCAUACGAAGGUAUUUUAAAAGUAAAUCCAGUUGCUCUCGCAUUAGUAAGCGAUCCUUUUAACUCUGAAAGAACCAUACUUGAGAAUAACUUAAAAAUGAGUCCACGUCUACUCCAAUUAAAGUUAAUCGAACUUCAUUCCGAGUAAGCCUGCCGCAAUUCGCCCGCCCUUCUUGAUUUCUACCUUGGAGUUUGUUAGUCUAUUCCAGACUUACAUACACAUUUCCCUCGUGAAUUCCGAAAUUUAAAUUCCCAUUUCAAAAGUUUCAAAAAUGUGUGAUACGGAAAUCCAAAGAUUAUUAUUUCCACUUAAUCUUGGAAAAUACUGUUAAUUGUUUAAAGAUAAUAAUCUAACCGGAUUCUUUACAACACCUUCAAAAAGAUGACCUCAUCCACGUCGUCCCACCUUUUCAACCUAAUCUUCCACCCAUUGUCAAGGACAAAUUGAUUGAACAAAUUAUGCAGAAUAUUUAACUCUGUUUCUCAGGUUAUUUAGUGUUAAUAUCUCAUUUUUUGCCAUGCUGUAAUAUUAUUUUUAACCUACAUACAUAUGACAGUAAUUGGAUUGUAAAACUUAAUAGUUGUGAAAUAAUAAAUAAUCAAUUACAUAAAUAUA